rnacentral:rRNA from 1 species
GUAAUAAUCCUGUAGUCGAAAAUGUUGUCUCUCUUGAGUGGAUCCUGAGUACGACGGAGCACGUGAAAUUCCGUCGGAAUCUGGGAGGACCAUCUCCUAAGGCUAAAUACUCUCUAGUGACCGAUAGUGAACCAGUACCGUGAGGGAAAGGUGAAAAGCACCCCGGAAGGGGAGUGAAAUAGAACCUGAAACCGUGUGCUUACAAGUAGUCAGAGCCCGUUAAUGGGUGAUGGCGUGCCUUUUGUAGAAUGAACCGGCGAGUUACGAUUUGAUGCAAGGUUAAGCAGUAAAUGUGGAGCCGUAGCGAAAGCGAGUCUGAAUAGGGCGUUUAGUAUUUGGUCGUAGACCCGAAACCAGGUGAUCUACCCUUGGUCAGGUUGAAGUUCAGGUAACACUGAAUGGAGGACCGAACCGACUUACGUUGAAAAGUGAGCGGAUGAACUGAGGGUAGCGGAGAAAUUCCAAUCGAACCUGGAGAUAGCUGGUUCUCUCCGAAAUAGCUUUAGGGCUAGCCUCAAGUGAUGAUUAUUGGAGGUAGAGCACUGUUUGGACGAGGGGCCCCUCUCGGGUUACCGAAUUCAGACAAACUCCGAAUGCCAAUUAAUUUAACUUGGGAGUCAGAACAUGGGUGAUAAGGUCCGUGUUCGAAAGGGAAACAGCCCAGACCACCAGCUAAGGUCCCAAAAUAUAUGUUAAGUGGAAAAGGAUGUGGCGUUGCCCAGACAACUAGGAUGUUGGCUUAGAAGCAGCCAUCAUUUAAAGAGUGCGUAAUAGCUCACUAGUCGAGUGACACUGCGCCGAAAAUGUACCGGGGCUAAACAUAUUACCGAAGCUGUGGAUUGUCCUUUGGACAAUGGUAGGAGAGCGUUCUAAGGGCGUUGAAGCAUGAUCGUAAGGACAUGUGGAGCGCUUAGAAGUGAGAAUGCCGGUGUGAGUAGCGAAAGACGGGUGAGAAUCCCGUCCACCGAUUGACUAAGGUUUCCAGAGGAAGGCUCGUCCGCUCUGGGUUAGUCGGGUCCUAAGCUGAGGCCGACAGGCGUAGGCGAUGGAUAACAGGUUGAUAUUCCUGUACCACCUAUAAUCGUUUUAAUCGAUGGGGGGAC